AAACAGUUUUGCACUUACUUUUCGUCAGACAUCGCAGUAAACAAUUUUUUGAUAGAAAUUAUGAGUGACAGCUGAUAGAAGUGUUGUCUUUUUGAACGUUUGAUUAUUGCAGUGCUGCAAUAUUGGCAUUUCUGAACGUUCUGUUUGUUAUGGAAUCGUCAUGAUGCGCGUCAUGAUGCAUUUACGAACAUAGCCUAUGUCUAAACUCCAAUAUCACCCAAACCCAUUGGGUAAUUCUUUAAUACAUCUCUACGAGCAAACACGCCCUUAAAGAACAGAUAUACCUGCGUACUAAAGAGCAGGGUAUCACCAAAACAGCUCAAUCACUUGUUUGAGCUUGCCUAGUUGUACUCUUGCAACCAAUUGCUACAGAUUAUUAUAGUUUUGCUCACGUAACGGUUGUCGUAUCACCGAAAGCUAAUCGAGAGAGAUAUAGGGUUAUCUUAAUACAUAUAUACAUUUAUUGUGUGCGUGUAUAUGUAUGUCACUAAACUCCUCUAAAACGACUGUACCGAUUUUGAUGAAAUUUUUUGUAUGUGUUCAGGCAGAUGCGAGGAUGGUUUAGAUUCACAAUUUGGUUCAACACGACAUGACUGCACGACAAUGAACUGUAAAUGGCGUCGUGAAGCCUGAUACGUGAACAUAUGUAACAAUGGCCGGGAGAGCGACAACUGAGAGCCCGCUGUCGUGUAGUCGUGCAGCUGCCUAAAUAACUAUGUCCAUAAAAACGUGUGUUUUAAUAUUUGAGAGAUGUCGCUUGAAGUCUGUCGGUCUCUAUGUGUUCAGCACAUGAAGGGAGCCAAAAUAAAUCAAGAGAGCAACAGCAUGACGAUCGCAACAAUGCGAAUAAGGUAUAGGUUGAAAUAUCGGAAAGCAAAAUUUUUAUUUGGUUAUUGUUGCUGCGCAUUAUUGGAAUAACGGUGCAUAAGUUAUAUGCCGAAAUGGCGCAAUUGUGAUUUCUUUGCCGCCACGAUCUGAAGGUACCUUUGGAAAGAGUAAUCCGGAAGACCGCGCUACCAUCGCAGUAUCAUAUAUUCAAUAUUAUUCUAUUUUAUUUUUAGUUAAUCCCGAGAGUUGGUGCUGCGAUCAAAUUGAGAAAAAUAUUUCGUAGUUAAUAUUAUAAGAUUUUAAGUCCUGUACACUUGCAAAUGAAAAUUCGAGGCCACGCACUCAACGUCUUCGUG